CUUACACGUCUCAAAUUCUUUUUAAAAAUUUGGGAGUGUUCCCGCUUUGCAAGCAUCCCGAGUGCGUCCUGGGUGUGACUCUUCUGUGAUCUGGCACUUGGCACAGGAAGUAAAAGCGGUAGACAUUUUUACAGGGUACAGGUGAUCAACUAGUGGGGCUGCAAAAUCUCUGGAACCAGCUGCCCACUCUGCACACAAGGGCCACGCCCACCGCUGUCUGGGCAGAAGUGAGAAUUCAGGGGAGCAUGGAAAUCAGAACAGACCCAUCUCUGAAUGGCCUCGGGCUGUGCGGCUCAUGAGGGGCACAGAACCCACGCCAGUGAAACAUCAGGGAAUGGAAGGAGGUGGGAACCUUUGCCCACCUUUGCAGCAAGAGCCGUUUCAUCUCAAUGUCUUCAUCAGCCUGGACACAGAGGGCUGCAGUGGGACGGCCCUGGGUUCUCUGCAGGUUGGCACCGAAGCCAAUACAUGGGCUCUGGUGGCGAGUGCCGCGUGACUUGGCUUCAACACUACCCAACAGUCUGGAAUUCAUCAGUUGGGGGUGGAGGUUUCCAUUGUAGAAAACAAACCCACCAGGUUUGCCCAGGUGUUAACUAUUUACGGUAGAAACAGAGGCCAGCCAGGCAGUCUCAGGCUGUCUCUGCCAUCUGGGGUUCCAGACAGUGAAAUGGAGGCAGCAGAGACAGGUGGAGGCUCCCAGAGGCAGAAUUGACAGGGGAGGGCACCCAGGAAGCCAGAAUUAACAGGUGAAGGUGCCCAGGGCCAUCUGAAGCACAUAUGCAGCCUCCAAGUCUCACUCGCCCAGAGUGGACCCAGAAGAGCCACUGGAUGGAGCCCAGGGGAGUCUGGGCUUGGGGUCAGGGUCUCCAGGACUCUGCUCCAUCAUGGGCCUUCUAGUAAGAAGAGUCAGUUCUUCGGACUGGAGGUCUUCCCAGAAAACAAAACAUUUCUUUCAGCCUGAUGCAGUGGUUCACGCCUGUAAUCCCAGCACUUUGGGAGGUUAAGGUGGCAGGAUCCCUUGAGCCCAGGACUUCAAGACCAGCCUGAGCAACAUAGGGAGACCCUGUCUCUACAGAUAGUUUUUAAAAUUAGCUGUGGGUGUGGUGGCAGGCACCUGUGGCCCAAGGUACUCGGGAGGCUGAAGUAGGAGGAUCACUUGAGCCCAAGAGGUCGAGGCUGCAGUGAGCCAUGAUUGUCCACUGCACUCCAGCCUGGGCAACAGAGCAAGAAACUGUCCCCCCCCCGCCAAAAAAAGUUUCUUCCUUCCUAACCUGGGAUUUAUCUUUUUGGAAGAUUCCAAAGUCCCAGCAAUGGCGUCCAGACACAAGGUUGUGUGAUGGUGGGCUGGGGAUAAAGGUGGGGUGAAGACUUGGCAGGAGGAACAUACCCCGACCCUCCAUCCUUACUGCCUCCGGUCUGCCUGCCCUGCAGUGGGGUUGUUAGAAUCUGGGUCAGGGGCUCACACGUGGCCUGGGCCCACUGCCACCCUCUCCAGAUGCUAUCUCCCCAGCUGGCCAGUGGGCUCUCGUCCCUGCUGUCCCUCCCCCUACAGUGCAAAGGGACAAGGAGCCGGGCCCACGGGGGAUGCUGUAGAGAUAAGACCUGGGUACACUGAGGAGGGGUAAGGGGCUGGGCCUCGUCAAGAAGCCCUCCUACCCACCCUGUCAGAAUGCCUGGAGCCGGAGCCCACUCCAAGGCAGCUGGUUUCCCCCCCAGAGGCCUCCAGGUGGAGCAGGUCUUUGCUCUGCUCCUGGGUUCCCCCAGGGAGAGGAAGACUGACCCACCUGCAGGAAGGGAGAGGCUGGGAUGCCAAUUACAGCCUGGGAUCCAUGGAAUGGCCAGGAACAUGGGUCUGGCUGAGGGCUGCAGGCUGGGAUCCCUGGCUCUGCCACUCCCCAGCUGGUGACAGGAGGUUGCUGUGCCACUCCAGGGCUCUGUUUCUUCAUCUGCAAAAUGGGGAGGGUGUGAUGGCUCACUGGGCAGUGAGGACCCAGUGAGUUUCGAACAGUCUGUGUGGCUCACACACAGUGUUGAGGAAAACCAGCCCGUCCUUAUUAUCAUCCCCAGUCCAAAUGCCCUUUCCUCCUCGACCUGCUCCCAGGCCACCCUCCCGGACAGCCGCUGUGGGGGAAGAUGAGAACGGGAGGAAAGUGAGAGCAGGACUCAGCACUGGGAAGAGGGAGCGGGAGGGGGACUUUGGCAGGCAGUGGGGAGAGGUUAUGGGCAGAGGCCAAGCACCUUUCCUGCAGCCUCUGGCCACCUGGAGCUCGGAUGGUGGGGCUGUGCUGAGUCUGACUCCAGAAACCCUCAUCCCAGCUGUGCUCAGGGGGGUAGAUAACAAGUUCCACUUUCCCUCUCCAGUUCUCUUCUGGGAGGUGGGUACCCCAGGCUUCGGGGGAUGACACCCAGGGGUGAGGGUUGCUCAGGGGCAGACUGGGGAGGAUCACAAUUGGGAAAGAAUCCUAGCAGAGCCCCAGGCAGAAGAGUCAGGACGGAGUAGACCCUGGUGUUCUGAACCCCGCACUUGUCCGGGCAGUGUGGGAAGGGGGGCCCGGCGCGGGGAGGUGCCCCGGGAAUGUCCCCAAGGGCUCCACCGGUGUCGCUGGGGUUCUCAGGCAUAGGUUUUGGUGGGAAAAGGGUCGGGGAAGGCAGUGACUAGGUCUCUGCUUUUGUUUUAGGCUGGAAGCUAAAUCCAGUGGUCGGCGCAGUCUACGGGCCUGAAUUCUAUGCAGUGACGGGGUUCCCCUACCCCACCACCGGCACAGCCGUUGCCUACCGGGGCGCACAUCUUCGGGGCCGGGGCCGGGCCGUGUAUAAUACGUUUCGGGCUGCGCCACCCCCACCCCCCAUCCCGACUUACGGAGCGGUCGUGUAUCAGGAUGGAUUUUAUGGUGCUGAGAUUUAUGGAGGCUACGCAGCCUACAGAUACGCUCAGCCCGCUGCAGCGGCGGCAGCCUACAGCGACAGUUACGGCAGAGUCUACGCAGCUGCCGACCCGUACCAUCACACCAUCGGGCCCGCGGCGACCUACAGCAUUGGAACCAUGUGAAACCUUCCACCGUUUCCUUCUCGGACCAUGAAGGGC
rnacentral:sRNA from 1 species